rnacentral:rRNA from 1 species
CGGACGGGUGAGUAAUGUCUGGGAAACUGCCCGAUGGAGGGGGGUAACUACUGGAAACGGUAGCUAAUACCGCAUAACGUCGCAAGACCAAAGAGGGGGACCUUCGGGCCUCUUGCCAUCGGAUGUGCCCAGAUGGGAUUAGCUAGUAGGUGGGGUAACGGCUCACCUAGGCGACGAUCCCUAGCUGGUCUGAGAGGAUGACCAGCCACACUGGGACUGAGACACGGUCCAG